AUUGAACGCUGGCGGAAUGCUUUACACAUGCAAGUCGAACGGCAGCACGGACUUCGGUCUGGUGGCGAGUGGCGAACGGGUGAGUAAUACAUCGGAACGUGCCCAGUCGUGGGGGAUAACGUAGCGAAAGCUACGCUAAUACCGCAUACGAUCUAAGGAUGAAAGCGGGGGAUCGCAAGACCUCGCGCGAUUGGAGCGGCCGAUGGCAGAUUAGGUAGUUGGUAGGGUAAAGGCCUACCAAGCCGACGAUCUGUAGCUGGUCUGAGAGGACGACCAGCCACACUGGGACUGAGACACGGCCCAGACUCCUACGGGAGGCAGCAGUGGGGAAUUUUGGACAAUGGACGCAAGUCUGAUCCAGCCAUUCCGCGUGCAGGAUGAAGGCCCUCGGGUUGUAAACUGCUUUUGUACAGAACGAAAAGGCUCUGGUUAAUACCUGGAGCUCAUGACGGUACUGUAAGAAUAAGCACCGGCUAACUACGUGCCAGCCGCCGCAGUAA
rnacentral:rRNA from 1 species